GGGCUGCAGUAGGGAAUCUUGCGCAAUGGGCGAAAGCCUGACGCAGCAACUCCGCGUGAUCGAUGAAGCUCGUAAGGGUGUAAAGAUCUUUUCUGAGGGAUGAAUUCUGACAGUACUUUAGGAAUAAGCACCGGCUAACUCCGUGCCAGCAGCCGCGGUAAUACGGAGGGUGCAAGCGUUAUCCGGAAUCAUUGGGCGUAAAGCGUCCGCAGGUGGUUUAUUAAGUCGGAUGUUAAAUAUACGGGCUCAACCCGUAAACAGUAUCCGAAACUGAUGAACUAGAGAAUUGCAGAGGUAAGUGGAAUUCUGUAUGUAGGGGUAAAAUCCGUAGAUAUACAGAGGAACACCAAAAGCGAAGGCAUCUUACUGGGCAAUUUCUGACACUUAUGGACGAAAGCGUGGGGAGCGAACGGGAUUAGAUACCCUUGUAGUC
rnacentral:rRNA from 1 species